AGAAUCAACGCUGGCGGCGUGCCUAACACAUGCAAGUCGAACGAGAAAGUGGAGCAAUCCAUGAGUAAAGUGGCGCACGGGUGAGUAACACGUGACUAACCUACCCUUGAGUGGGGGAUAACCUAGGGAAACCUGGGCUAAUACCGCAUAAUACCUUCGGGUCAAAGGAGCAAUUCGCUUAAGGAGGGGGUCGCGGCCGAUUAGUUAGUUGGCGGGGUAAUGGCCACCAAGACUGUGAUCGGUA
rnacentral:rRNA from 1 species